CUCUUCUCAAUCAGGGCUUCACCCUGCCUGAACACCAGCUCAAUCUUCCCCGUGUUCAGAUAGAUCUCCUGCUGGAACGCCUGAGAAACACACACAGCAGAGAGAAGUGCUCUAUGUUGGUUAGCUGGAGGUCCAUCUCAGUCAGCCAGACCAGGAUGCUGUCUCGUGCCGUCUCAAACUCCUCUCUCUGGCUGAUGAAGUGCUGCAUGAACACGAUCGAUUAAGUCAACGCCCAACGGGAUGUUACCCUGAGUCUGCGUAGGAUGGCAGCCACCCUCCUCUGCAGGUUAUCCCAUCGCUUGUUCCCAUCAUGCACCA